UGGUCAGGAUCAUGAGCGCGAGCGCACUUUGACUCGUAGACGUUGACUUGAGAACCUCCCAGUUAGUGAGUAAACUGACGAAUAUCGGAGCAAGAAUUGUGCGUUUUGUGGAUAAGAGGAGCCGCUUCACUGAGUAGGCCCUCUCAGGAAAACUCCGGAUUGGCCACAGGUCAAGCCACUCCUCCAGUGUGCAGAGUGUGUCAGUGUCAUCAGGAGGAACACCUGAAUCCAGUCCCAAUUACUGCUGAGGCUAGGCAGACAUGUGUUGCAUGCUCUGAAAGCAACCUGUACAUCCACUCUGAAGCAUCAUAGAGGCGAUGCCAAGAUGCUGCGAUGACAGUAAUAAAUCAACUAAAUGAUGUGUCGAUCUCAACAAGGCAAAAACAAUUCAGAUAUUGCAGUACUUGAUAUCAUGAUAUUCUGCAGUUCCAAAAAUCAUGCCCUGGUGAAAAGACAAGAAAAAUUUACUUAGCAGCAGCCAUUCAAUAACUAACACUGUGACUCAGCAUAACUGAGGUUUAAAACAAUUGUUUUGUUUUUUUCUAAUAUUUCAAAGAAGCGAGCAAGAGUAAUUUCUUCAGGUGUUAGUUAAUCUCAGGUGAGAUAAUAAAACCUGACAAUAAUCGUAAAUAAACUCACUGAGGAUGUCAGAUAUUUCGGGCCACUCUCUCUGUUUCUCCAGUAGGAGUCUGAGUUUUGAGCAGAUGUGGACGUGGUUGACGUAGUCCAGCAGGAUCCGGACCACGCUGCCGGAAAGAUGCAUGACGCAGCAAAGACUCAUGAACUCACAGAACUGGAGAGAGGACGAACAUUCACAAGAUGGAUACUUCUGUGGAGAGAAGGGUUUAUUCAAGAGAAGAGCUUUCUUUAUUGAAACGAAGCAAGUCUGGAGGACCAUCACCCUAAUCCAGCUGAGUUGAAGAGGUGUUUUCCUGGUUGUCAUGCUGGUGCAAAAGUUAAGGCUCGGAAAUUGAGAUAUAAGCCUUUUCUGCCGUCAGUCAUCAAGGGGAAUGUCAACUCUCUGCCCAACAAGACUGAUGAACUAGAGAUACUGGUGAAGACUCAUAAAUUAUACUCAUCAAACUCCUCGUCAUGGUGGCAGUAAAAGCACCUCUCCACCUUGUAGCCGUUGUUGAGCAGCAGCCUCAUCAUCACCUCGUCCUUCAGGCAGUACUGCAGCGCCGUGGGGAACACCGUGUCAUUCACCACCGUG